GACGAACGCUGGCGGCGUGCUUAACACAUGCAAGUCGAACGGAAAGGCCCUGCUUUUGUGGGGUGCUCGAGUGGCGAACGGGUGAGUAACACGUGAGUAACCUGCCCUUGACUUUGGGAUAACUUCAGGAAGCUGGGGCUAAUACCGGAUAGGAGCUCCUGCUGCAUGGUGGGGGUUGGAAAGUUUCGGCGGUUGGGGAUGGACUCGCGGCUUAUCAGCUUGUUGGUGGGGUAGUGGCUUACCAAGGCUUUGACGGGUAGCCGGCCUGAGAGGGUGACCGGCCACAUUGGGACUGAGAUACGGCCCAGACUCCUACGGGAGGCAGCAGUGGGGAAUAUUGCACAAUGGGCGGAAGCCUGAUGCAGCAACGCCGCGUGCGGGAUGACGGCCUUCGGGUUGUAAACCGCUUUCGCCUGUGACGAAGCGUGCGUGACGGUAAUGGGUAAAGAAGCACCGGCUAACUACGUG
rnacentral:rRNA from 1 species